ACAGUGGUGGUUCAGUGGUAGAAUUCUCACCUUCCAUGUGGGAGACCUAGGUUUAAUCCCAGCCAAUGUA
rnacentral:tRNA from 1 species